UGGGGAAUAUUGGACAAUGGGCGAAAGCCUGAUCCAGCAAUGCCGCGUGAGUGAUGAAGGCCUUAGGGUUGUAAAGCUCUUUUACCCGAGAUGAUAAUGACAGUAUCGGGAGAAUAAGCUCCGGCUAACUCCGUGCCAGCAGCCGCGGUAAUACGGAGGGAGCUAGCGUUGUUCGGAAUUACUGGGCGUAAAGCGCACGUAGGCGGCCAUUCAAGUCAGAGGUGAAAGCCCAGGGCUCAACCCUGGAAUUGCCUUUGAAACUAGAUGGCUUGAAUCCAGGAGAGGUGAGUGGAAUUCCGAGUGUAGAGGUGAAAUUCGUAGAUAUUCGGAAGAACACCAGUGGCGAAGGCGGCUCACUGGACUGGUAUUGACGCUGAGGUGCGAAAGCGUGGGGAGCAAACA
rnacentral:rRNA from 1 species